AUUGAACGCUGGCGGCAGGCUUAACACAUGCAAGUCGAGCGGAGAUGAGGUGCUUGCACCUUAUCUUAGCGGCGGACGGGUGAGUAAUGCUUAGGAAUCUGCCUAUUAGUGGGGGACAACAUUCCGAAAGGAAUGCUAAUACCGCAUACGUCCUACGGGAGAAAGCAGGGGAACUUCGGACCUUGCGCUAAUAGAUGAGCCUAAGUCGGAUUAGCUAGUUGGUGGGGUAAAGGCCUACCAAGGCGACGAUCUGUAGCGGGUCUGAGAGGAUGGUCCGCCACACUGGGACUGAGACACGGCCCAGACUCCUACGGGAGGCAGCAGUGGGGAAUAUUGGACAAUGGGGGGAACCCUGAUCCAGCCAUGCCGCGUGUGUGAAGAAGGCCUUAUGGCUGUAAAGCACUUUAAGCGAGGAGGAGGCUACUGAGACUAAUACUCUUGGAUAGUGGACGUUACUCGCAGAAUAAGCACCGGCUAACUCUGUGCCAGCCGCCGCGGUAAAAC
rnacentral:rRNA from 1 species